UUUUUUUAACUGUAACAAAAUUUGUAUUUCAAAUAGAACCAACGUCUUACACAUUGUAUAUGCAGUAGCCAAUGAUCUACAUUGAGAAGCAUAAAUCAAAUUAGCUAUAUCUUCUGAUUUCAGAGUGAACAACCGUGUAUUUCAGCCGCUAAUCAGCCGUGACAAAAAAAUUCAGUGUAAAAAAGUUCUGAUCAUUUUCUGUUGCUACAUAAUUGCAUUUUGAUUCUAUAUUGAGAAUGAAUCCC
rnacentral:misc_RNA from 1 species